GCGUCCAUAGCUCAGCGGUAGAGCACCACCCUUAUAAGGUGGCCGUCGAUGGUUCAAAUCCAUCUGGACGCA
rnacentral:tRNA from 1 species